CUGUCUCUGACGUCACUCCGCCCCAGCCGUAUGAAAGCGCGGCUAACGAGCCGUGCGGGUGGUUCUCCGGCCUGCACGCCGCCACUGCUCCCACCUCCUGCGAAGCAUAAGUAUUCUCCAGCUGCCCAAUUCUGUUUGCUUCUUACAGUGAACAAAUAAGAGACUGAAGUUCCUAAAGAUGUACAUAUAUUCAAAAGGUCUUGAAUCCAAAGACUACAGCGUCUUGGCCACCCACCAACAUAUAAAGUCUUUAUCAUAAGUUAAAACUGGGAGGAAGGAAGGAGUAAAAGACACCAACAGAUAUCCCUGGGUGGAUAGUCUCUGCUUGCUUCCCACAGUCCACGGAUAUUGUGGAAAACAUGAAAGUCAUGGAAAAGUGAAGAAAAAGGAGUCAAGUUCCUAGUUACACAUGAUUCACAAAGUAAACCCAGAGAUUUCAAAGAAGAAUCCAUCAUAAUGUCAAAAACAUUUCUGACCUAUUGUGGUCUUUCAAGUUCUUUGCAGCAGAAGAACUGCUCUAUUUUUCCAUAUUUAAAAUGUGAGCAAAAGCUAAGAGAUGGAAUUUUCCAAAGGGUGCCUUGAGUCUUAGAAGUUUGAGGACAAAGUUUUAAGCAUUUGCAGGAUCAGGGGCUUUAUCUUUACUGGUUGAUGGAUAAAAUGAGGGAAUUCCUCUCUGCGCUGUUGUCUGGUAGCUGUAUGAAAGUAUGUGCCUUAGGAAGACUGGCAGUCUGUACAUGAGGACUUUUGAAUGGUUUAGUUCCCUGUUAGCCUUCACAAAGUUUGUGCAAGGAUUUGGGCACCUAAUGAUUAAAAAAGGAUACCUGGCUACUGCUUAAUGUUG